rnacentral:rRNA from 1 species
CCUACGGGAGGCAGCAGUGGGGAAUAUUGCGCAAUGGGCGAAAGCCUGACGCAGCGACGCCGCGUGAGGGAUGAAGGUCUUCGGAUCGUAAACCUCUGUCAGCAGGGAAGAACGGUCACUGUGCUAAUCAGCAGUGAAUUGACGGUACCUGCAAAGGAAGCACCGGCUAACUCCGUGCCAGCAGCCGCGGUAAUACGGAGGGUGCGAGCGUUAAUCGGAAUUACUGGGCGGAAAGCGCUCGUAGGCGGUAUGUCAAGUCAAGGGGGAAAUCCCCGCGCGCAACGUGGGAACUGCCUUUGAAACUGGCAAACUGGAGUGUGUGAGAGGAUAGUGGAAUUCCAGGGGUAGGAGUGAAAUCCGUAGAUAUCUGGAGGAACAUCAGUGGCGAAGGCGACUAUCUGGCACAUAACUGACGCUGAGGAGCGAAAGCGUGGGUAGCAAACAGGAUUAGAUACCCCUGUAGUC